UACAGUUGCUGGCGGACACCGGGCUGGGCCACUCCUGGGGCGUUAGCAGCAGGGGUCAGUUAGGAGAUCACAGCCUUGAUCUGUUUGUUUACUAUUAGUGUGAUCUAGGGUAAAGUUCUGAACGCCCUGGCUUUUCCCUCUUUAUUUGUCUACUAAAAUUGUCCCUGAAAUUACUAUGAAGAGCAUUCGCCACAAGGGCUGGCGCAUUAAUAAACAAGUUUGUCAUAAUUAUUUUUGAUCCCACGUGAAGGAAAUUGACUAAUAAAGUAACUUUCAGUGAUAAUCUGAAUUUUGCCUUACAUUGCACGAGAAAGGAAGAGUUAAGUAUCUGAGGGAAAUGAGAUGGCCUGGCCAGUCAUCUUAGCCUUUGCCCGAGUGCCGAAACUCAAGUUGAUGGAGAAUACAGAUACGCAUAUAAGUGAAUAAGUUUCCCAAGAACUGCCGCUCUGGGAAAGUUACUUGUGAACAGCAUUGGCUAGCCUGGAAUUCCCUAUGCAGAGGACUAGCCUGAAACUUCAUAUUCACCUGCUUCUGCCUCUCCAGUAUUGAGAUUAAAGCUGUGUUUUUAAAGAUUCGGCUAAUUGGCCUGUUUGAUGCGGAGAUUACCGACGUGCGCCACCACGCAAUGAGGAGAGACACUUUUCGGUCUCACACCGGUCGGGUGCAGGAGUUGUAACUGGAGACACGCUUCCAAGAAGCGCCGAUACUUCCGGCCAAGAAAACCGUAGGAAGCGGAGCCUCUGUUUCCCGGAAGGCAGCGCGCUCUAAACGCGACAGAUCAGCUUCCGGCGCGGGCCGCGUUGCUGUGGAG
ensembl:lncRNA